rfam:Hordeum vulgare subsp. vulgare, WGS project CAJW01000000 data, contig: morex_contig_62249
AAGUUACUCCCUCCGUCUCAAAAUUCUUGUCUUUAAUUUGUCUAAAUAUGAAUGUAUCUAGUCAUGUAUUAGUAUUUAGAUACAUCCAUUUAUAGGUAAAACUAAGACAAAAAUUUUGGGACGGAGGGAGUAUUUU